CCCCCUGAGAAAUGUUCCCCCACCUGAGUCUUGAGGUGGAGUCAACUUCCUAAAAGUUCUAAGUGUAGGCAACCCAACCUGAGGACCCCAGGCCAGGGCCCUCCUGAGCCACACCUUGCUGCAUGAUCUCCACAAUCUGUACCACCUUGUCCAUGUGCUUCCGAGCAGCAAUCAGCCCUUGCAGCAUGAGCAUCUUGUAGUAGUUGAACAUAUCACCGUUCAGGCCACCCAUUACCUGGAAGCAAGGAGAGUGUCUGUCUGCACAGAGGAAUUCUGGUGGGUCCUUUCCCUGUAGGCCCCAGAGCUUCCUCUCUUAAGGCAAUCAUGGUAAAUUUCACUAUCACUAUCUCCACAUUUUCUUUCUUAAGAAAGCUCCCAGGCAAUCCUGCCUCAUCUUGACUUACUGCCAUUUCUGUUCUGUUCCUAAUUUGGGGGAGUCCAUCAGCUCCUCUCAAAGGAAGAACACAGUUACCCUUGGAAGCACCUUUUUUUUUUUUUUGACUCACAUCCACAAAUUCUGUGGUCAGCUUAAAGGCUGAUGUCUCAAAGCCCAGGUUUCGGGGUGAGCUGGAAAGGAUGAAGCCAAAGUCGAUGUGAAUGAUGUGACCUUCUGCGUCCAGAAGGAUGUUCCCAUUGUGCCUGCGGAAGAGGCGACAGAAGUAAUCGAGCAAGGAGAGCUGUGACUGUUUCUUCACCUGGUGGAUGGACACAGCGUUGACUACUGGUUCAAUCAUGCCACUGUCAGCUGAAAUCACAAGAAUCUUAUAUGGCUUGAUCCAAAGAGGCACUCGCUCCUGUUCCCAAAUGGACUGUGAAAAGACAC
rnacentral:lncRNA from 1 species